GAGACGUAACGUUACCGUCAGGGUGACUCACUUCCUUGACUGAGCGCCGUGAGCGAGAGCUGACUGGCUGGCCUGCACGCACGACACCCCGCCCGGCCCAAAUAUGGACUGUCAAGGUAAUGACUGUCCUUGGGCUGGGGGAAUAGUUUGUCUGCAUUAAGAGGGAGAAGUGAUUCUCGUGGCAUCCAGUUGCUGACCGUCCUCUCUGGUCCUCGGUAAUGUGGUUAAGUAUGGAACGUUCACCUCUUUCACAGAAGCGUACAGUGGAACCGGAUCCAGCACAACGCUCUUAGGGAAAAGUAGCAAUCCUGUACUUUUCCUCACGCCAUUGAUAUCCUUUGUCCAUGAGGCAUGUUUCCCUUCAAAGUCCUGUGCGUGGAGGAGUGAAGAUAAGAGCAAUGGUGUCUGACGAAGAGGAGAUGAGGCAACAGCGGAUAAAAUGUGACGAGACUGGAGUGAAAUAGAGAUGCAAGGCUGCAAGUCAAGAGGGAAAGCACAAACUCGAGAGUGAGGAAGAAGGGACCGAGAAAGAAGAAUCAAGUUGGAAUCGAGAAAGAAACGCGGGAAAAGGCUGCCUCUGCUUCAUGUCUGAGGAACACCUGUCACACUUUGACAAGGCAGUGAUCCCAAGCUGUGUGCAUUUUGCGACGGCAGCCCUGCAGAGACAAAAGGUUAGGAGCUGUGUGGAUGUUAGUCAGACCUUCAGAGAGCUGAGAGGAAAUACAGAGAAAAGAAGAAGCUGGCUGGAAGGUGGAUUUAUGUCCUGCAUGUCCUACCUGUUCUCUUCAUAACUACCGAAAACCGGUUUCAACGUAACAGCAAACCAGGAGACCGGUCGGUGCCGCAGAAUCCAAAUGUCAGAUGAGGUCAUGUCUUUGUCUCAGCGCAGCGACUCUGCAGUUCUUUCUUUAAAUACGCUUCAUCUCAACGUUGUUUUUCUGCACAUUAAAGUGAAUUCUAAUUU